UUGUGGUUUUGGAUGGACUCGCGGCCUAUCAGCUUGUUGGUGAGGUAAUGGCUUACCAAGGCGACGACGGGUAGCCGGCCUGAGAGGGUGACCGGCCACACUGGGACUGAGACACGGCCCAGACUCCUACGGGAGGCAGCAGUGGGGAAUAUUGCACAAUGGGCGCAAGCCUGAUGCAGCGACGCCGCGUGAGGGAUGACGGCCUUCGGGUUGUAAACCUCUUUCAGUAGGGAAGAAGCGAAAGUGACGGUACCUGCAGAAGAAGCGCCGGCUAACUACGUGCCAGCANCCGCGGUAAUACGUAGGGCGCAAGCGUUAUCCGGAAUUAUUGGGCGUAAAGAGCUCGUAGGCGGUUUGUCGCGUCUNCCGUGAAAGUCCGGGGCUCAACUCCGGAUCUNCGGUGGGUACGGGCAGACUAGAGUGAUGUAGGGGAGACUGGAAUUCCUGGUGUAGCGGUGAAAUGCGCAGAUAUCAGGAGGAACACCGAUGGCGAAGGCAGGUCUCUGGGCAUUAACUGACGCUGAGGAGCGAAAGCAUGGGGAGCGAACAGGAUUAGAUACCCUGGUAGUCCAUGCCGUAAACGUUGGGCACUAGGUGUGGGGGACAUUCCACGUUUUCCGCGCCGUAGCUAACGCAUUAAGUGCCCCGCCUGGGGAGUACGGCCGCAAGGCUAAAACUCAAAGGAAUUGACGGGGGCCCGCACAAGCGGCGGAGCAUGCGGAUUAAUUCGAUGCAACGCGAAGAACCUUACCAAGGCUUGACAUGAACCGGUAACGCCUGGAGACAGGUGCCCCGCUUGCGGUCGGUUUACAGGUGGUGCAUGGUUGUCGUCAGCUCGUGUCGUGAGAUGUUGGGUUAAGUCCCGCAACGAGCGCAACCCUCGUUCUAUGUUGCCAGCACGUGAUGGUGGGGACUCAUAGGAGACUGCCGGGGUCAACUCGGAGGAAGGUGGGGACGACGUCAAAUCAUCAUGCCCCUUAUGUCUUGGGCUUCACGCAUGCUACAAUGGCCGGUACAAAGGGUUGCGAUACUGUGAGGUGGAGCUAAUCCCNAAAAGCCGGUCUCAGUUCGGAUUGGGGUCUGCAACUCGACCCCAUGAAGUCGGAGUCGCUAGUAAUCGCAGAUCAGCAACGCUGCGGUGAAUACGUUCCCGG
rnacentral:rRNA from 1 species